GGAAAUCAAUGCAUUUGAAGAGAGUACAGUUACUUAUUUUCCUACUUCUUCUGUGCGGACUGCAUAUCCAAGCACAGAGUUCUAGAAGAUGUACCAAGGGGACUUGUACUAUCGAUGCAUGUUGCACUGGAUAUUAUUGCAGACACGUUGGCAUUCCUCGUCCCAGAUGUUAUGUACGCACCUGACUGCUGUUUAUGUCUAAAGUUAAAGACGCAAAUGUUAUUUAC